UACGGGGGGGGCAAGCGUUGUUCGGAAUUACUGGGCGUAAAGGGCUCGUAGGCGGCCAACUAAGUCAGACGUGAAAUCCCUCGGCUUAACCGGGGAACUGCGUCUGAUACUGGAUGGCUCGAGUCCGGGAGAGGUGAGUGGAACUCCGAGUGUAGAGGUGAAAUUCGUAGAUAUUCGGAAGAACACCAGUGGCGAAGGCGGCUCACUGGCCCGGUACUGACGCUGAGGUGCGAAAGCGUGGGGAGCAAACAGG
rnacentral:rRNA from 1 species